rnacentral:rRNA from 1 species
UAGGGAAUCUUCGGCAAUGGGGGGAACCCUGACCGAGCAACGCCGCGUGAGUGAAGAAGGUUUUCGGAUCGUAAAGCUCUGUUGUUAAGGAAGAACGAGUGUGAGAAUGGAAAGUUCAUGCUGUGACGGUACUUAACCAGAAAGGGACGGCUAACUACGUGCCAGCAGCCGCGGUAAUACGUAGGUCCCGAGCGUUGUCCGGAUUUAUUGGGCGUAAAGCGAGCGCAGGCGGUUAGAAAAGUCUGAAGUGAAAGGCAGUGGCUCAACCAUUGUAGGCUUUGGAAACUGUUUAACUUGAGUGCAGAAGGGGAGGGUGGAAUUCCAUGUGUAACGGUGAAAUGCGUAGAUAUAUGGAGGAACACCAGUGGCGAAGGCGACUCUCUGGUCUGUAACUGACGCUGAGGUUCGAAAGCGUGGGUAGCAAACAGG